GUCUAUUACAAUGACUGACUGAAUAAUUUGUCGUUUAUUUGAUUUAGCCCGCAUGCACUUCUUAAGGAGUGUAUGACGUGUAGGGGCCGAGCAUUAUGAGGGCUGCUCUCAUUUAAGUUGGAGUCAUCUGGAUGAAUGCUUUCACUCUCCCACACACCAUCAUUUGGAAGACGACGCAUUGCCGGAGAGAAGUCCAUCUUUGGGCGCGCAAUAACUCGUUUUGACGUGGAUUUUACGCGGUACGAACGCAUGGCGCAACUGUCCGACAACGCCAACAUGACGACACUGCUGAUUUUUUGUCACAUUUGAGACAAGGGAGAAAAACGGGAGAUAAAGAGAAGGAAAGGGAGACUUAUGUACGGCGUCAAGGAGGGAACAACCGGUCGUUUCUCCACUCCAACCGGUGCUCUACUCGGCUUUUUGGGACGAGCGUCAUGGGCUGCGGAGAGGCGCUGGGAUGUUGUUGGCUGUUGUUGGCCGUAUCCUGCUGCCUUUUUCCCGCGUGCCGAAGCAACAUAACAGUGGCGGUGAUGCUGCCGGACAACCACCACAAGUAUCCGUGGGCUCUGCCGCGCGUCUUCCCGGCCAUCCUCAUGGCGCACGAAGAUCUCCACGGCAAACACGGGCUGCUCCUCGGCCGCUCCAUCAACAUCCUCAACUACAGCACCGAGGACCCGGCGGCGGGUUCGUGCGCCGAGAGCCGAGCCCAGGUGGUGGCGGUGGACGCCAAACUCUACUUCCGCCCGGACGCUUUCUUCGGGCCGGGCUGCGUGUACCCGCUGGCCUCCGUGGGCCGUUUCGCUUCCCACUGGAAACUUCCGCUCAUCACCGCCGGUGGACCCGCGUACGGUUUCGAUAAGCGGGAAGAGUAUCGAACCAUCGUGCGCAGCGGGCCUUCCACCACCAAGCUGGGGGACUUCACCAACAUGCUGCACACUCACUUCAACUGGACGUCCCGCGCUGUGGUGAUCUUCCAUGACUUGAGGCACGACGAUCGGCCGCACUACUUCCUCUCUGAAGGCAUCUACCUGAAGUUGAAGGAGGAGAUGAACGUCACGGUGGAGGCCCAGCCCUACGAAGACGACUUUAAGUUCUACAAGGAGCUCAUUGCCUUCAUGAAGGAGCGAGGCAGAAUUGUGUACAUUUGCGGCCCCUUGGACACGUUCCUGAACAUCAUGAAACUCUUCCACAGCGAGAUCCCAGACCCAGAAAACUACGCCAUUUUUUAUCUGGACGUCUUUGCAGAGAGCCUGACAGAGCGGAAGCCUUGGCAGAACUCUGACCUUAACUGGGACAAUCCCAUCAAAGUCUUUAAGUCUGUUUUCAUCAUAACAUACCGACCUCCCGAUAAUCCUGAGUACAAAGAGUUUCAAAGACGACUUCAUGCAAGAGCACAACAGGAUUUUGGUGUGCAAUUGGAACCAUCACUGAUGGACUAUAUCGCAGGCAGCUUUUAUGAUGGGUUUGUGCUAUACGCAAAGGCUUUGGAAGAAACACUGGCAGAGGGUGGAGCUCAAAACGAUGGUAUCAACAUCACAAUGAGAACACAGAACCGUCAAAUAUGGGGGGUGACAGGUCUUGUGACUACCGACCACAAAAAUGCCAGGGAUAUAGACAUCAACCUUUGGGCCAUGACCAACCAGGACACAGGGGAGUAUGGGCUGGUCGCAUACUACAAUGGGACUAUGAAAGAGAUCAUUUGGUCCCAGACGGAGAAGAUCCAUUGGCCCAGUGGGGGCCCACCGCUGGAUAAUCCGCCCUGUGUGUUUUCCACAGAUGAUCCCUCUUGCAAUGAUGGUCAGCUGCCAGUUCUGGGAAUUGUGGCGGUGGGAUCUGGCUUGGCGCUAAUCAUUUUUGGAAUCUCCAGUUUCCUCAUUUACAGGAAACUAAAGUUGGAGAAAGAAUUAGCUGGAAUGCUGUGGAGGAUUCGGUGGGAGGACCUACAGUUUGAGAGCCCCAAUAAAUAUCACAAACGAGCCGGCAGUCGCCUAACACUCUCACAGAGAGGCUCUAGCUAUGGCUCCCUGAUAACUGCUCACGGAAAAUAUCAGCUAUUUGCAAAAACGGGCUAUUUUAAGGGCAACCUGGUGGCUAUCAAACAUGUCAACAAGAAGAGAAUCGAGCUCACCAGACAAGUAUUAUUGGAACUCAAACAUAUGAGGGAUGUCCAGUUUAACCAUCUCACACGCUUCAUUGGAGCCUGCAUCGACCCUCCAAACACGUGUAUUAUAACGGAAUACUGCCCCAGAGGAAGUCUGCAGGACAUUCUGGAGAAUGAAAGCAUCAACCUAGACUGGAUGUUCCGCUACUCAUUGAUCAAUGACAUAGUGAAGGGCAUGAACUAUCUCCACAACAGCUAUUUUGGCUGUCAUGGAAAUCUGAAGUCAUCUAAUUGUGUGGUGGACAGCCGAUUUGUGUUGAAAAUCACAGACUAUGGAUUGGCCAGCUUUCGCUCAUCCUGUGAAAACGAUGACUCUCACGCUCUCUACGCAAAGAAAAUGUGGACAGCUCCUGAGCUGCUUAUAUACGACCAACAUCCGCCUCAGGGGACACAGAAGGGUGACGUGUACAGUUUUGGCAUCAUCCUGCAGGAAAUAGCCUUAAGAAAUGGACCUUUCUAUGUGGAAGGCAUGGACCUCAGCCCCAAAGAGAUUGUGCAGAAGGUCAGAAACGGCCAGAAGCCAUACUUUCGGCCAACAACAGACAUUAGAUGUCACUCAGAGGAGCUGACCAUCUUAAUGGAGGGCUGCUGGGCCGAGGACCCUGCAGAGAGGCCAGAUUUUGGCCAUAUCAAGAUCUACAUGGCCAAACUCAAUAAGGAAGGCAGCACCAGUAUUCUCAACAACCUGCUGUCACGGAUGGAGCAGUACGCUAACAAUCUGGAGAAUCUGGUAGAGGAGCGAACGCAAGCCUACCUGGAGGAGAAAAGGAAAGCGGAAAAUCUUCUCUAUCAAAUUUUACCACAUUCAGUAGCAGAACAACUAAAGCGAGGGGAGACGGUACAGGCGGAAGCUUUUGACAGCGUCACCAUUUACUUUAGCGACAUUGUGGGCUUCACAUCCAUGUCUGCAGAAAGUACGCCACUUCAGGUGGUCACAUUGCUGAAUGACCUGUAUACCUGUUUUGACGCCAUUAUAGACAACUUUGAUGUGUACAAGGUGGAGACCAUUGGUGACGCGUAUAUGGUGGUGUCAGGGCUGCCGGUGCGAAACGGGAAACUUCAUGCAAGAGAGAUCGCCGGAAUGUCACUGGCAUUGUUAGAGCAAGUAAAAACGUUCAAGAUUCGACAUCGACCCAAUGACCAACUGAGACUUAGGAUAGGUAUCCAUACAGGUCCAGUCUGUGCUGGUGUGGUUGGUUUGAAAAUGCCCAGAUACUGUUUGUUUGGAGAUACUGUCAACACAGCAUCCCGAAUGGAGUCAAAUGGAGAGGCUCUGAAGAUCCAUUUAUCCUCAGCUACCAAAGAAGUUCUGGAUGAGUUUGGCUACUUUGAUCUCCAGCUACGAGGAGAUGUUGAAAUGAAAGAAGACGUAAAUAUUUCGCGCCCCAACCUCCUCCCCCAACUCUCUCUUCCGCUUGAUCCGGGAUCGGGUCGCGGGGGCAGCAGCUUUAACAGGGAAGCCCAGACUUCCAUCUCCCCAGCCACUUCAACCAGCUCCUCUGGUGGGAUCCCAAGGUGUUCCCAGGCCAGCCGAGAGACAUGCGUGUCCUGCGUAAUCUCCGGGGCCUCCCGCCGGUGGGACAUGCCCGGAGCACCUUUCCAGGGAGGCGUCCAGGAGUCAUCCGAACCAGAUGCCUCAGCCACCUCAGCUGGCUCCUCUCGACACAGAGGAGUAGCGGCUCGACGCCGAGUCCCUCCAGGAUGACUGAGCUUCUGACCCUAUCUCUAAGGAAGAGCCCGGACAGGCGGACACCCUGUGGAAGAAACCCAUUUUGACCACUUGUAUCCAGGAUCAUGUUCUUUCAGUUACGACCCACAGCUCGUGACCAUAAGUGAGGGUUACAAAUAGAGGGCAAAGGUAAAAUGAGAACCUAUUGGCUACUCGGGGAGAAGUCUGAUGUGUAUGUCAUCUGAGAGGUGGAGACGACAUCAGAAGAUCCGGUGGCCGAGCCACUUCUUUAUUUGUUCUAGAAUAAGUCUUUUGUGUGAGAUUUCCAUGCAGAGGAACAUAAAUCAUAAACCAAAAACAGAGGAAAUUCCAGGUAUUUUUACGACCUGAAUGCUGCAAAUACAAAACAAAGUGUUUUUUGUAUGAAGAAAUUUUCUGUCCGCAGAGUACUUUUCACGGAAAAUAACCUUUUUUUUGUGCUUUCUAUAUUACGAUUUGUAUAACGUGUUUUGAAGUCAAUGAUGUAUUAAUAUUUCCUUGGAAAAUCCUUUGGAGUGUUUGUGAACACUGCUGGCAGGCUUCGAUUGUGUUCUACAGUAAAAUGCAAGAUGUGUACAUAUGUAUAUCCAAGAUACUGUAAGAUA